rnacentral:rRNA from 1 species
AGAUUUUNAUCCCUGGCUCAGAUUGAACCGCUGGGGCCAGCCCUAACCACCUUNCAANUCGAAGCGGAUGAGAGGAGCUUUCCUCCCUUGAUUUAAGCGGCGGACGGGUGAGUAAUGCCUUAGGAAUCUGCCUUGUUAGUGGGGAUAACGUUCNGAAAGGAACGCUAAUACCGCAUACGUCCUACGGGAGAAAGCAGGGGACCUUCGGNCCUUGCGCUAUCAGAUGAGCCUAGGUCGGAUUAGCUAGUUGGUGAGGUAAUGGCUCACCAAGGCGACGAUCCGUAACUGGUCUGAGAGGAUGAUCAGUCACACUGGAACUGAGACACGGUCCAGACUCCUACGGGAGGCAGCAGUGGGGAAUAUUGGACAAUGGGCGAAAGCCUGAUCCAGCCAUGCCGCGNNUGUGAAGAAGGUCUUCGGAUUGUAAAGCACUUUAAGUUGGGAGGAAGGNGGNAACCUAAUACNCUNUUCUUUGACGAGGNACAGANAGCCCGCAACUC